rnacentral:rRNA from 1 species
UUGGCAUCAAUUGAUAUUGAAAGCUCCGGCGGAUAGAGAUGGGCACGCGCAAGAUUAGUUAGUUGGUGAGGUAACGGCUCACCAAGACGAUGAUCUUUAGGGGCCUGAGAGGGUGAUCCCCCCACACUGGUACUGAGACACGGACCAGACUCCUACGGGAGGCAGCAGUGAGGAAUAUUGGUCAAUGGGUGCAAGCCUGAACCAGCCAUCCCCGCGUGAAGGACGACUGCCCUAUGGGUUGUAAACUUCUUUUGUAUAGGGAUAAACCUACCCUCGUGAGGGUAGCUGAAGGUACUAUACGAAUAAGCACUGGCUAACUCCGUG